CUAAAAGUAGGUUAAGUAAACUGUAGAUCUGUGGAGUCUGAUAUCUCAUCUGAGCUUUUAGU
rnacentral:tRNA from 1 species